ensembl:lncRNA RHOXF1-AS1 RHOXF1 antisense RNA 1
AGAUCGCAGCCCAGAGUCUGCGGAGGCGCACCGUUUCAUCAACAGCAGGGACUGAAACUUCAGCCCAGGAGAAGCCAAGAUGGCACCGUUAUCGCACCCUGGGAAUCGAGGACCGGGAAGAACUUAAUGAUGCGAUUCCUCCCGUGAUCUCAGUGAUUGUAUCAGGCGAAAACGAGGAGGGCAAAAUACCGUCCAGAUGUAAACUAGGAGCAGCCGCACCAGCAGCACCAGCAGAAUGCCGUGGUAGUGCGGCAGGCCCUGGCCCCAUGGACAAAGAGAAACUCGUCAGUGGCAGUGGCCACGAACUCAGAAAGCCUGAGGACAGUCAGCAGCUCCUCUGGCUCUUCACUUUCACACUGGUGCAACUACAGGAGCUGAAGAACAUUUUUCAACUCGUUCCAUACCCGGACGUGUUAGAAAGGGACUUGUAAGAUGCAUGAGCAUGACUGAAACCAGUGUGCAGGUCACUAUACCUGAAAAAACUUAUUUGGCAGGGCAGCCAUUCUACAAUCUGCUUCAAGAG